UAGAGCCGUGUGAGAUGAAAGUCUCAUGCACGGUUUUGAAUGAGAGAAAGAACCAUUUUUAUAUUGAAAAAGAACCGCUUUAUACUUGUUCGCUGGAAUUUAUUCCAA
rnacentral:ncRNA from 1 species